UGAGCUGGAAAAGAAGAGUUCAGGGGACUCCGUUAGAAGCUGGGAUGGACCGGCACGGUUGAUCGCAUUCUGCCAUGAUGGGCGCGGCCGUGUCCUCGCUCAGGGUGGUCUGCCCAUCCUUUCUCUCUUCAGUCUUCCUAUCUUAGCCCUGGCUGACCUGGCCGUGUCUGUCCAGGACCACUGCUGAGAGCCCACACUGCUGUACCCCUUUCGGUCUUCCAUCAAAUACAACCCCACAAGCUUUGUCAAAAGGGAAAUCGAGGCUGGACCAGCUGAACCAUUUGCCUCAAACUGGAUGUCAUUGCUCCGUGACCCUGCGCAUGGGAUUCUAAUCGCCGCGGUUUACUGCUCACGAGCUGAGCACAGUGAGGGCCGCUGUUGAGAGCCAAACGCCAACCAGAGCGGACUCUGGGUGCAAGAGGAACUGGGGGCUGCCUGAAGUGCACCCAGGUCUGUGAGAAGCUGCCUCUUGCUUUUCCUGUCACUCUCAAGGGGUGGCAGAUGGGCCCCAGUUCUACCCAGUCUGCAGACUUCAUUGCAGCCCAGGGGCCUGCCUGGAGGAGGAGCCUGACUGUGUAACCUGCAGGGUAGCCACAGUGCAGCAUGUCUGGGCUAGACUCCACAGCUCAAGGUGGUCUCAGAGUCCUGCCAGGAAAGGAGAUGCUGGACCAAGAGACAAUACAUCCCCAUGUAUACAUCCCAUAAUUUAUUUGAAGAGCAAUUGCUAUGGGGACUCUGGUCCACAGUCCUGGGAUAAUAACCAGGGCAUAAGAAAAGAGACACCAUAGCAACUGGCUGGUCCCUGCUCCCCCCCCUCCCUUUCUUCCCCCACCACGCUCACCAAGGGCCAGACUUAGUAAUGACUAUGUGAGCUGGAUGGCAGCUUCUGGCUCAUGCAGGAAUUAUUGAAAUUGGUUCUGUCCUUUAUUUUAAGCUGAAUUUUGAAAUAAGGUUUGUUUUUAUUUUCUAUCUUCACAUUAUUCCUGGGGUCAAAUGUCAGAAAGAGCAAGUGGACUGGAGAAUGAGUGACUGUCCUGCUCUUGAGACUGUCUUGCCACGGUGGAGAAAAGGUCAGUUCUCAGAGGACAGGCUGAGUCUUCCAACUGCAUGGAAGAAGCUGAGGUCUCCUGGGCUUCUCCACUCAGGAUCACUAGUGACCAAGCCAGCUCUAUUAGCCUCUGGUAGAAAGUCUUGAUGUCCCUGAGCAGGGCUGAGCCAGCUCUAUGAACCACAGUGAAGGUGUCCCCAGGCAGGGUCAAGCUAAGAGUUUAGGUACUUACUU